rnacentral:lncRNA from 1 species
UUAAAAAUAUGGAUAUGAUUUGGUUUGGUUUUAGUUUACAUAAAAUGAUUAUGAUGGUUUUAGUUUACAUAAAAUGAUUAAUUGAAAGAAAUUAAUUACUUGAAAUCGUAAGGACGGCUGUAUGUAAUUGAGAGCUUGUAAAUGAAAGAAGCAGUAAUUAGGAGUAUUAUUGAUAGUAGUAUGAUUUGAUUGUAGAGUGUUGCAACUUGAUUUUAAGAAAUGACACGAGUGAAUAAUAAUAAUAAUAAUAGCCCAUUCCAUUCCAUUCAAUUCAAUUCAAGCUACUGCCUAAUCCUGCCUGCAGUAUGUAUGUAUGGAUACAUUAUUA